rnacentral:misc_RNA from 1 species
CAGCAAUUCCGGAAAGGCUAACAAGUUGGGAGACCUAUGAAUUGGAUCUUGAGGAGCUUCUUGGCGUUUACAAGGAGCCUGCCUUCCUCGUGGGUCAUUCGAUCGGUGCAACCGUCAGUGUGAUGCUGGCGGCCCGACGGCCAGACUUGGUGCUCGGGGUGGGCUUGCUCGAGCCGUCAUUUGUCCCGUUCGAGAGGGCGUAUCGAGUUGCGAGCGA